ensembl:ncRNA C34E11.18 ncRNA
UUUACCUCGUUCUUCUAGAACAAGUGGCUCGACAAGCGUGGCCUCUGUGUCGUUGCUGUUGCCCUCCUCCACAAACAUUGACAGGUAUCUGGUCCGCUCCCAUUGGUUUUUUAGCUUCUCGACGCCCAAUUGUCCCUCACUCAGUCUG